rnacentral:rRNA from 1 species
AUUGAACGCUGGCGGCAGGCCUAACACAUGCAAGUCGAACGAGCGGCGGACGGGUGAGUAAUGUCUGGGAAACUGCCUGAUGGAGGGGGAUAACUACUGGAAACGGUAGCUAAUACCGCAUACCCUCAGAUGUGCCCAGAUGGGAUUAGCUAGGAGGGGGGGUAACGGCCCACCAAGGCGACGAUCCUUAGCUGGUCUGAGAGGAUGACCAGCCACACGGGAACUGAGACACGGUCCAGACUCCUACGGGAGGCAGCAGGGGGGAAUAUUGCACAAUGGGCGCAAGCCUGAUGCAGCCAUGCCGCGUGUGUGAAGAAGGUCUUCGGGUUGUAAAGCACUUUCAGCGGGGAGGCGUUACCCGCAGAAGAAGCACCGGCUAACUCCGUGCCAGCAGCCGCGGUAAUAC